UCAGAGAUGAGAAUGUGCCUUCGGGAACCGUGAGACAGGUGCUGCAUGGCUGUCGUCAGCUCGUGUUGUGAAAUGUUGGGUUAAGUCCCGCAACGAGCGCAACCCUUAUCCUUUGUUGCCAGCGGUCCGGCCGGGAACUCAAAGGAGACUGCCAGUGAUAAACUGGAGGAAGGUGGGGAUGACGUCAAGUCAUCAUGGCCCUUACGACCAGGGCUACACACGUGCUACAAUGGCGCAUACAAAGAGAAGCGACCUCGCGAGAGCAAGCGGACCUCAUAAAGUGCGUCGUAGUCCGGAUUGGAGUCUGCAACUCGACUCCAUGAAGUCGGAAUCGCUAGUAAUCGUGGAUCAGAAUGCCACGGUGAAUACGUUCCCGGGCCUUGUACACACCGCCCGUCACACCAUGGGAGUGGGUUGCAAAAGAAGUAGGUAGCUUAACCUUCGGGAGGGCGCUUACCACUUUGUGAUUCAUGACUGGGGUGAAGUCGUAACAAGGUAACCGUAGGGGAACCUGCGGUUGGAUCACCUCCUU
rnacentral:rRNA from 1 species